AUUGAACGCUGGCGGCAGGCCUAACACAUGCAAGUCGAGCGGAUGAAGGGAGCUUGCUCCUGGAUUCAGCGGCGGACGGGUGAGUAAUGCCUAGGAAUCUGCCUGGUAGUGGGGGAUAACGUCCGGAAACGGGCGCUAAUACCGCAUACGUCCUGAGGGAGAAAGUGGGGGAUCUUCGGACCUCACGCUAUCAGAUGAGCCUAGGUCGGAUUAGCUAGUUGGUGGGGUAAAGGCCUACCAAGGCGACGAUCCGUAACUGGUCUGAGAGGAUGAUCAGUCACACUGGAACUGAGACACGGUCCAGACUCCUACGGAAGGCAGCAGUGGGGAAUAUUGGACAAUGGGCGAAAGCCUGAUCCAGCCAUGCCGCGUGUGUGAAGAAGGUUUUCGGAUUGUAAAGCACUUUAAGUUGGGAGGAAGGGCAGUAAGUUAAUACCUUGCUGUUUUGACGUUACCAACAGAAUAAGCACCGGCUAACUUCGUG
rnacentral:rRNA from 1 species